UGAGGAACUUGGAGAAGUUUUGAAACUCUUUUUAGGAGCUUUUAGAGGUCUUUAAGAGUUCUGAAGAGCUUUGCCUCUGGACAGCAGCUGAAGUUGAGCUCUUUGCUGCCUUCCACUGCCCCACCCUGCUCCUCCUUGGCUCCUUUGCUGUUGCUCAGCUUGAACUGUGCAGUUUGUCCACUUUGCAUAGAUUCCUGGAAUGGUUUGGCUUGGAAGGGACCUUAAAGCUCAUCCAGUUCCAACUCUCAGCCAUGUGCAGGGACACCUCCCAGCAGCCCAGAUUGCUGAAGGCCUCAUCCAGCCUGGCCUUGAACACCUCUAGGGAGGGGAAUUCACAACCUCCCUGGGCAGCCUGCUCCUGUGUCUCCCCAGCCUGACUGUGGGGAAUUUCUUCCUAAUAUCCAGUCUGGGUCUUCUCUCUUCCAGCUUCAACCUGUUCUCCCUUAUCCUAUCACUACAUGCCCUUGUCCAAAGUCCCUGCCCAGCUUUCUUGCAGGCUCUUUCAGGUCUUCUUCCAGUCACGCUGAGAACUCUGGGAAGAAGAAGUGAACUUUCUCCAUUUUGUCUUUCACUUCUGCCUUUGCCUUCAGACCUGGUCACAUCUCAUUAACCUUGCUCCAACUAACCCUGCUCCCAAAACUGUUGGCCGCACCUCUCUUCUUCCUGAGAACUGGGUCCCGCUGAGAAGUCUGGGAAGAAGAAGUAAAACAUUAGAUAACAUUCUCCAUUUUGACUCUCACUCUGCCUUUGUCUUCAGACCUAGCCACAUCUCCUUAACCUCACUGCCACUAACCUUCCUUCUUAAUCUCUUGGCUGCACCUCUAUUCUUUUCUCAGGAUUGGGGUAAGGUUGAGAGGGCAAGGGGAGGUGUUGGGGUGGUUUGAGAGCCCCUCCUGGGGACUCAGGUUUCUGGGAGGGGAGUUGUGCUUCUGUAUUACUUGUCCUUUGUAUAUUUCUGUAUAUAACUGUAUAUAUUGUAAAUAUCUGC